rnacentral:rRNA from 1 species
UACGUAGGGGGCAAGCGUUGUCCGGAAUCACUGGGCGUAAAGGGCGCGUAGGCGGCUGGGGAAGUCCGUGGUGAAAGCUCGUGGCUCAACUGCGAGUCGGCCAAGGAUACUCCUCAGCUCGAGUCGACUAGAGGCAGAUGGAAUUCCGGGUGUAGCGGUGGAAUGCGUAGAGAUCCGGAAGAACACCGGUGGCGAAGGCGGUCUGCUGGGGUCGAACUGACGCUGAGGCGCGACAGCGUGGGGAGCAAACAGG